AUACGUAGGGGGCAAGCGUUAUCCGGAAUCACUGGGCGUAAAGGGUGCGUAGGUGGCUUAUCAAGCCAGGGGUGAAAGGCAUUGGCUCAACCAAUGUAAGCCUUUGGAACUGAUAGGCUUGAGUGCAGGAGAGGUAAGUGGAAUUCCUAGUGUAGAGGUGAAAUUCGUAGAUAUUAGGAGGAACACCAGUGGCGAAGGCGACUUACUGGACUGUAACUGACACGUGGGGCACGAAAGCGUGGGUAGC
rnacentral:rRNA from 1 species